ACAUCAUCCUGUUCCUCUAAUGGAGGCUUCUCAGUCAGAUCCACACUGGAGAUUCCUUUAAAGAUAACAGUGAACUGAGUGAAUACUUACUUGCUGGCGUGGGAGAGAAAAUUGCAUGCAGAAGUUGGAAAACUCAGGACAGAAAACUCCAGGAUAAGUCGGGGUGAGCUGGCAUCCAAUGGGGACUUUGCUUCCACGGGGCUAAGUGAGAAACAGAGGAUAUAAGUCAGUCUUAGUUCUGCAGAGGCCAGCAGGAGGCCAAACCUCCUGGCAAAGCAGGUUAUAUAAUUGGGAAUUAUUCUAGACUGAUACAAAUUUAUGAUGAAAGGCUGAGAAUAUAUUAUUUAUUGAAAUCUGACUGGAAGUAUAUAGAAAA
rnacentral:lncRNA from 1 species